rnacentral:rRNA from 1 species
CUACGGAGGAUCCGAGCGUUAUCCGGAUUUAUUGGGUUUAAAGGGUGCGCAGGCGGCCAUUUAAGUCAGCGGUUAAAUCGUGGGGCUCAACCCCAUUCUGCCGUUGAUACUGGGUGGCUUGAUUGCGGUCGAGGUUGGCGGAAUUCGCUGUGUAGCGGUGAAAUGCAUAGAUAUGACGAAGAACACCGAUUGCGUAGGCAGCUGACCAGACCGCAAAUGACGCUCAUGCACGAAAGUGCGGGGAUCGAACAGGAUUAGAUACCCUGGUAGUCCGCACAGUAAACGAUGAAUACUUGUUUUCGGCGAUAUAAUGUCGGAGGCAAAGCGAAAGCGAUAAGUAUUCCACCUGGGGAGUACGCCGGCAACGGUGAAACUCAAAUGAAUUGACGGGG